GACGAACGCUGGCGGCGUGCUUAACACAUGCAAGUCGAACGGAAAGGCCCUGCUUUUGUGGGGUGCUCGAGUGGCGAACGGGUGAGUAACACGUGAGUAACCUGCCCUUGACUUUGGGAUAACUUCAGGAAACUGGGGCUAAUACCGUAUAGGAGCUCCUGCUGCAUGGUGGGGGUUGGAAAGUUUCGGCGGUUGGGGAUGGACUCGCGGCUUAUCAGCUUGUUGGUGGGGUAGUGGCUUACCAAGGCUAUGACGGGUAGCCGGCCUGAGAGGGUGACCGGCCACAGUGGGACUGAGAUACGGACCAGACUCCUACGGGAGGCAGCAGUGGGGAAUAUUGCACAAUGGGCGGAAGCCUGAUGCAGAAACGCCGCGUGCGGGAUGACGGCCUUCGGGUUGUAAACCGCUUUCGCCUGUGACGAAGCGUGAGUGACGGUAAUGGGUAAAGAAGCACCGGCUAACUACGUG
rnacentral:rRNA from 1 species